rnacentral:RNase_P_RNA from 1 species
UAAAAUAGGUGGUCGCGGCUGCAGAGACGAAAGGCUGCAGGUGAGGAAAGUCCGGGCUUCACAGGGCAGGAUGCCGGAUAACGUCCGGUGGAGGCGACUCCAAGGAUAGUGCAACAGAAAUGUACCGCCAGCCUUUGGCUGGUAAGGGUGGAAGGGCAGUUUAAGAGACUACCGCCCGGCUGGUGACAGCCGGGGCAUAUGUAAACCCCAUCCGAAGCAAAACCGAACAGAAAGCAUAAGGCGGCCCGUCUGCUUUCGGGUAGGUUGCUGGAGCCUGUCGGCAACGGCAGGCCUAGAUAGAUGAUCACCCACGACAUAACCCGGCUUAUCGUUUUGCUC